CAGGAGGAAACCUAAACUAAACUAACUUUAUUUAUACUGGAUAGCUCUAUCAGUUCUAAACUGUUCUUUCUAGAGGUCCAGUAAGGAUCAUCUCUUAUUGGAACCUAAACUAACUUUAUUUGCAGAGGAUAGCUCUUGCUAUCAAUUCUAAACGCUUAUCCUAAUUUGAUAUAGAUAAUUUUCAAUCGCACAAUCCCGCUCAAAGAAGAUGCAGCGAAAAACUAAGAACAUCUGAACGGUUAGGCCAUUUGGAAUUUCAAAAUAGAAAUAUAUUGAUAAAAUUACUGUAACAAGCACGAAUAAUAUAUUGUAGCAGGGGUGUAGGCAAUAUACAUAAGAAUAAAUUUUAACCAGAUUUUUAUCUUGCUUAUCUUUUCAGGCACUUGAAGUUUAGAACUAGAAAUUCACUUUAAUUCCAAG